UGGACUUGGCUCCUAAGUAUGCUUUUGGGAAGAUGCUGGCGAUUGGCUCAGGACCACCCUUCAAGGUGAAGGGGUCGUGGCUCUUCCGUGGACAAGAGAUUCCCCAGUUUGGGAUAGAUGAGUGUUAUGACAUGGAGCUAUAUGAGUGGAAGAAGGUUGACAUCACAGACGAGGAACAGAAGGAGCGAGUGAGUCAGAUGAUCGAAGACCAUGAGCUUUUGAGGGGGAGCCUCUAUUGGAUGCCAAAUGCUUCAAGUGAUUAGAGAUGGCAUACACGAUUAAAGUCACUGAAAAGAGUGAUGUAUAUAGUUUUGGUGUUGUACUACUAAAGCCCAUCGACAAGGAAUAUGGAGAAGGGGGAUACAUUGUCUACUGGGUUUAACUCAUGUCCAUGACCGUGAAAAUGUCCUUAAGGUUCUCGGUGAGGAAAUGGCUUCCGAUUCUGUCCAAGAAGACAUGAUCAAAGUCUUGAAGAUUGCUGACCUUUGCACGACCAAGCUGGUAUUGAAGAUGCUCGUUGAUGCUGAUUCUUGUGCUUACAGGUCUCCUGAUAACAGUUUUGACAAAAAUGACAAGCUUUUCUCCAGUAAUUUCCCUUUUUUAGCAGCGGUAUAUCUCCAGGUCUUCAUCAACUGUGGCCAAAUUUGGAGAAAAUAUAUUUGUAGUGCUAGAUGAUGCUGGUUUAUGAAAAGCAUUUUGAUGUUGUCUAAUUGAGCGCUUGGAGUUGUUAUUUUGUGAUCUAAUCCAUAGGUAUUUGGAAGCUUAAGUAAUUUUUAA